UUUCUGAAGAUCUGACUUUCGAAGGGGUAGGAAGAGUGACCAGGAGACUCCUGGCAUUUCAGAGACUCUGAAAAAGUGCAGCUUUUGAGACCACAGAGCUCUCCAGGGGACCUGCCGGGAGCUGGAGUUGCUAGAGCCAGUGGUUUCCAGGUGGGAGAGGGAAGGUGGUGAAUGACACCAGAGGGGCAGCAGGACCAGGUCAUGAAGGGCCGUCCCUGUCAGGCCAAGGAGUUCCCCUCAUCUUCUCUGGGACAGGGGGAUCACUGAAGAGUUUUCAUCAGGAAAGUGAGGUCGUGAGAUGUUUUUUUCAGUAACCGUAGCAGCCAUGAGGGAGACGGCUAGCGGCUGGGCAACCAGAUAGGAAGUUCCUGUCGGGGUGAGAGACCGAAACGAAGGAGACGGCCGUGAGGACUGAGAUGUGGAUGCUGAUGGACGUGGCGGGACAGGGCGAGAGCCGAGUUACAGUUAUCGCCUUUGCCCACUUCCUAUGGCAGACGAAAAAUUAAUUGGUGCACUUCUCACAGAAGAUGGCGUGGCCGAAGGGACUCUCGCUGGACACCGGACUCUCUCCCUCACCUUCCAUCCUAAGCCUCUGUGGGCCUCCCCUAACCCUAUGGCUUGUAAACCUGUGUGACCCUCCUGCGUGAAAUUGCUCUCCCUCGACUAUUGGAGGCGGUCCUCUGGCCGGAGCCCUGGUUAAUGCCCAGGGGAAACCGAAUGAAGAAAACGGCUCCUGCUCAGAGUGAGGUGGCAUCUCCGGGACCUGACUUUUUUCCCCUGAGGACUGGUGAGGGUGAGCGUCUUUUCAUGAGCUUACUGCCAUUCGAAUGUCUUCUUUGGAGAAAGGUCUGUUCGGAUCCUUUGCCCAUUAUUUAAACUGGGUUAUUUGUCUUUUUAUUGUUGAGUUGUAAAACUUCUUUAUAUGGCCUAGAGAGCAGUUCUUUAUAUUUUCAAGUAUUUUCUUCCAUCCUGUGGGUUCUUUUCAUUCUUUGUGGUGGUCUUUGAAGCACCAGAGAUUUCAACAUUGAUGAAGUCCCGUUGAUUUGUUGUUGUUUUUCAUGCAUUUGGUGUCAUAGUGAAGAAUCCGUUGUCAAAUUCAAGGUCACAAAGAUUUACUCUUAUGUUUAAGAGUUUUCUGAUGUUAGGUCUUUGGUCCAUUUUGGGGUAAUUUUUGUAUACGCUCUGAGGUCAGGGUCCAACUUCACUCUUUUGCAUGUAGCUAUC